rnacentral:rRNA from 1 species
AAUGAACGCUGGCGGCAUGCCUAACACAUGCAAGUCGAACGGAGCCUUCGGGCUUAGUGGCGCACGGGUGCGUAACGCGUGGGAAUCUACCCUAGGGUUCGGAAUAACUCAGAGAAAUUUGAGCUAAUACCGGAUGAUGUCGCAAGACCAAAGAUUUAUCGCCCAAGGAUGAGCCCGCGUAGGAUUAGCUAGUUGGUGAG